AACAACCGGGAUUGCUUAGUAACGGCGAGUGAAGCGGCAAAAGCUCAAAUUUGAAAUCUGGUACCUUCGGUGCCCGAGUUGUAAUUUGUAGAAGGUAACUUUGGGGCUGGUCCUUGUCUAUGUUCCUUGGAACAGGACGUCAUAGAGGGUGAGAAUCCCGUGUGGCGAGGAUCCCAGUUCUUUGUAAAGUGCUUUCGAAGAGUCGAGUUGUUUGGGAAUGCAGCUCUAAGUGGGUGGUAAAUUCCAUCUAAAGCUAAAUAUUGGCGAGAGACCGAUAGCGAACAAGUACAGUGAUGGAAAGAUGAAAAGAACUUUGAAAAGAGAGUGAAAAAGUACGUGAAAUUGUUGAAAGGGAAGGGCAUUUGAUCAGACAUGGUGUUUUGCGCCCUCUGCUCCUUGUGGGUGGGGGAAUCUCGCAGCUCACUGGGCCAGCAUCGGUUUUGGCGGCAGGAUAAAUCUGCAGGAAUGUAACUUGCCUCGGUAAGUAUUAUAGCCUGUAGGAAUACUGCCAGCUGGGACUGAGGACUGCGACUUUACGUCAAGGAUGCUGGCAUAAUG
rnacentral:rRNA from 1 species